CAGUUCUAAUCUAGCUUAUUGGUUGCUUUCUCUAGUUCUUCUAAGCAGGCCAUUUUUUACUAAUAGUUUGUAUCAGUUUUCGUUUACUUGUCUCUGGUAGUUUUGGAUGGCUUCUGGGUGAUAUUCCCUAUGUCCCAAAAUAAGUGUCUCAACUUUGUACUAACUUUAGUAUAAAGUUGUACUAAGGUUAAGACACUUAUUUUGGGACGGAGGGAGUACUUCUCUAGGGGCAUCUGAUAUUGAAACUGAAUAGUUGAGCAGUAGGGUAAUAGCAUUUCUGUUUAAAGCCUACUUGUAUAUCACUACAUAAACAGAAAUUUCUAAUGCCCUGGUAUUUGUACUGGAGAAGCAAAUUGUUGCUUGGAUUGCAUGGUGCUGAAAAACAGAGGACAUUUCAUACAAUAAGGGAACUUAAGUUAUGGUGAACUUAAAAAGGGUUAUGGCAUUACC
rnacentral:lncRNA from 1 species